AGAGAGAGACAUGCGCGCAUAUCAAUAAGCGGAGGAAAAGAAACUAACAAGGAUUCCCUUAGUAACGGCGAGUGAAGCGGGAAGAGCUCAAAUUUGAAAUCUUCAAGGUUUUACCUUGACGAAUUGUAGUUUAAAGAAGUGUUUUCUGCUGAAGUUUUGGUAAAAGUUCUUUGGAAUAGGACAUCAUAGAGGGUGAGAAUCCCGUAUUUGACCAUUAUUUUCAGCUUUGUGAUACACUUUCAAAGAGUCGGAUUGUUUGGGAAUGCAGUCCAAAAUGGGUGGUAAAUUUCAUCUAAAGCUAAAUAUUGGCGAGAGACCGAUAGCGAACAAGUACCGUGAGGGAAAGAUGAAAAGAACUUUGAAAAGAGAGUUAAACAGUACGUGAAAUUGUCAAAAGGGAAGCGUUUGACACCAGUGUUGUUUUCUCGAAAAUCAAUUAAAAAUGGCUCGAUUUUGUAUUGCUGAGACCUUAAAAGCUCACUGUACAUUUUUCCGUGUCUUUUUUAAUGCACUUUUCGUUUAACAAGUCAACAUCAGUUUCUUUUGUUGUAAAAGGGUCAUUGGAAGGUGGCUUCCUUUUCGGAGAAAGUGUUUAUAGCCUUUGGCCUCUGCAAUCGAAGAGACUGAGGUCUGCAGCGUAGACUCUUCGGGGUUAGAUACAUUUGUGCUAAGUUAUAGCUCUUUAUAGACAACUUGUUGACUAUAAUUAGUCUUGUAGCUUACUCGCUUAUGCUAUUUUACCUACGCUUAGGAUGUUGAAGAUGUAGCACAUCAU
rnacentral:rRNA from 1 species